rnacentral:lncRNA from 1 species
CCUUUCCCCAGUGUUGAGCGCGGUCUCGCCUCCGCUUCCUCCUCACUCCGCCUGCCGGCUGGGAAACUAGGGCACCAGUACGAUAGUUCCGGCACCGGAAAAGAGGGCUGAUGACUGGGCCCGGGGGCCGCCGCAACGACCCUUGGGGCCGGCAAAGAGCCAGAGAGGGUGCUCACACUUCCAAGCACCCCACACCAAGGACAGGCUGGACGGCAAGGCGGAGACGCGGGGCUUGGGCCCUCAGACCGGGGACAGCAGGAGGUUGGGCCAAGGGCCAGGACUUCCCGUCACAAUUUCAUUUGUUGAUCCCGGCACCGCCAGGUACCUGGGCCAGCUGGACGACAGUGAGUUUGAGAGAGCCCUGCAGAAGCUGCAGCUGACCAGGAGCAUCUGGACCAUCGACCUGGCCUACCUGAUGCACCACUUUGGCGUGAGGCACCGCUUCUGUACCCAGACCCUGGGUGUCGACAAGGGCUACAAGAACCAGUCCUUCUACAGGAAGCACUUUGACACAGAAGAGACCCGGGUGAAUCAGCUGUUUGCACAAGCAAAGGCCUGCAAGGUGCUGGUGGAGAAAUGCAGGAAUGUGCAGCACCAGCAUCAGUAACUUUGAGGAGGCCAGAACCAGCUAUGGCACAGAUGAGGACAUCCUCUUUGUCUACUUGGACAGCUGACAGCAGGAGCCUGGUGCGCCUAGGCCCUCGGACCCCAUCCCCACCCCAGCCGGGCCCGCUCAGGAUGCCCUGGCCCAGGCUUGGGGCUGCUGGGGUUGGAAUGUGGAACUGCAGCCUCAGCCCAUCUGGCAGAGUCCCAGGAACUCGGAGACUGGCACAGCUGCUUUGUCUGCCAGUGCCGUGUGUUGUCAUGUCACUCACCCCAAGCACCUGCUGGCUGCUGGAAGCAUACCCCAAGACCCCAAGCCUUGACUCCAGCUGCGCCCACAGGAAGUCCAGUCCCGACAGUGCCCUUGUUGCCUUUGAGCCAGAUCCAUGGCAAUGGUCUCCCCACAGACCGCAGGACUGAGCCUGGAGAGAGAAGUUGCUUGACGGAUGCCACUUGUCAGGACAGUAUGUGAGUGUCUGGAGACAGCAUAGCUGACCCCAAUCCCCCAGGGCUGAGGACCCCUCCAGGCCCCUCUCUCCUGGAAGUGCUGCAUAUGCCCCUGUGCCCAGUGGUUGAUGAUACCACCACCACCUGCCUACCCAUGGGCCCAAGUUUCUGUGGCUCAUUACAGGGCAUCUGACCCCUGCCACCCAGCAUAGACACACCUCACAGCUGCCCUGCCAUGCAGAGCCCUGGCCGCUGGAGACUCUUAAAGCCCCCACAGCCCUCCAGGUCCUCCAGCUCUGUCAGAUGGAGGGCUCUCGGGCCUAGAUCCCACUGGUAGGCCUCGUGGCUGGCAGCAGUGCUCUGGGAAUAAACAGCUGCCCUAGCCCCAGAGGGAUCCCUGCACCCAGGAGGCCUCCUGACACCAGCCAAAAUCCUGACAGCAGGGUCUGCCCUCUUGAGUGUGGGGAGCCCCUAGUCCUUUAAGGUUGGCUGCUAAGGCCUGUGCUCCAAAGCAACGGGCUGGGGCAGCCUGCAGCUGCCCACCCAACCUGGUCUUCACACCAGAUUGCACAGGAUACUGGGUCUUGUCUAUCUUGAUGGAGAAGAGGGGUUCCUGCCCAGGAUCUUACAACACAGCAAGUAGCAUAGAGCUCUUUCCUUCCUCUUUUUUGGGGAGGUUGGGGUCAGGGGUUGUUUCUUUGAGAUUUAAGUUUUCAUUUUUGAGGGGUAAUCACCUUCAAGUAAAACAGUAAUAGCAAGAGUGAAGGUACUUUGGAACCACUAACACCUCUGCACAGGGCAGUUAGCCAGCUCAAGUUCUUUUUCAGAGAAAGGGACUUGGCCAGUGGUUUAAGUACCUGCCCCUUCACCUCUCAGACGAGGCAGCUGACGAGGCAGCUGGCCCAGUCUUGGGAGUCUGCUCAGGACAGUGGUGGAGCUGGGUCUUGAACCCCAGUCUGCACCUAAAAAACUAAAGGAAAUGGAUUUUUUUUUUUUUUUUUGAGACGGAGACUCACUCUGUUGCCCAGACUGGAGUGCAGUGGCACGAUCUUGGCUUACUACAACCUCCGCCUCCUGGGUUCAAGCGAUCCUCCUGCCUCAGCCCCCCACUAGCUGGGACUACAGGCACAUGCCACCAUGCCCGGCUAAUUUUUUUGUAUUUUUAGUAGAGACCAGGCUUCGCCAUGUUGGCCAGGCUGGUCUCGAACCCCUGAGCUCAGGUGAUCCACCUGCCUCGGCCUCCCAAAGUGGGAAAUGGGUCAUUUUCAAAGGGGCAACAGUGAUACCAUCCCUGCACUCCUGGGUCCUGCUCUUCCAAUGCCCAAGGCAUGGCAUGGUGGCAGCUGUGCCCCCGCCCAUUGCUUUGGAGCACAGAUGACUCUGGGGGCAGAGGUGGGCUCUGUUUAGGAGGGCAGUGAGACCACCCAGCCAAAUUGCUUCUCAACCCUAGACAAAGCCUUUGGCCAAGAGGGAGGUGCUGUUAGUUGGGCAGCCCUUCUGGGUUUCAGAGACCGGUGUUGGCUCUAGACUGGUCUCAUCUCCAUUGCCUUAAUGCCAGGUGGCCCAGGAGUACCCAUGCACAGCAGCUGUGGGGUGUGGGCAUCUUCAGGUGGUGUUCUGGUAAAAUUGUUAGAAUAGCUGUAUGAAGGAAACCAGUGGGAGGAAAUGAAGUUUUCAGGAUGGUGGGAUGUGAUUUAGACAGUGCACAUGCUGUUAGGGCUGUCACUAGGGAGUGGCCUUCAUGGAGGGUGGUAACAGCACCUCAGUCCAGCCAAAAUGUUUAGAAACACUCAGUCUCUGGUCCCAGAGGAUGGCUUCUCAGGGCAUGCCACAAGUUAAAGGUCACCUUCCUGAAAGAUGAAUGAGAAAGCUGCCCAUUCUCAAGACUCAUCUGCCUAGGGAGGGUCACAGAGGCAGGAUGUAAGACACACUGUGUUGCAUUCUUGCACAAGUCAUGAAAAUGGAGCCAGAGAGCCUGGACAUCAGGGACUUUUGCCCACAGCACAUGACACCGACAGCUGCCCAGCCUGUUCACAUGCUGGGGACCAGCACAGCACCUGAAGCCAUGUGGGACAGUUGGGCUUUGUUCAUUCUAGCCACGGGGAUGAAAGGGAUCUUUUGCAUUGCAGAGAUUUUAUAUAUAUUUUGUUUGUAAUGAGCCAUUCUCAAUAAACAUUAUUCUCACUGCAAAAUGGUGGUAGCCCCUG